ACUCCUACGGGAGGCAGCAGUGAGGAAUAUUGCGCAAUGCCCGAAAGGGUGACGCAGCGACGCCGCGUGGAGGAUGAAGGCCCUCUGGGUCGUAAACUCCUGUUGGAGGGGAUGAAUAUCCGCUUCUUGCGGAUUGACCGUACCCUCUGAGGAAGCCACGGCUAACUACGUGCCAGCAGCCGCGGUAAUACGUAGGUGGCGAGCGUUGUCCGGAAUCACUGGGUGUAAAGGGCGCGCAGGCGGAUUGGUAAGUCGGAGGUGAAAUCUUACAGCUUAACUGUAAAAUUGCUUUCGAUACUGCCGAUCUUGAGUGCGGAAGAGAGUGAUGGAAUUCCUGGUGUAGCGGUGAAAUGCGUARAUMUCAGGAAGAACACCGGUCGCGAAGGCGGUCACUUGGUCCGUAACUGACGCUCAGUGCGCGAAAGCGUGGGUAGCAAACAGGAUUAGAUACCCUGGUAGUCCACGCCUUAAACGAUGAAUACUARUGUCGGUCCCGUUGGGCCUUACGAUKUGAGGUCGA
rnacentral:rRNA from 1 species